AUUGAACGCUGGCGGCAUGCCUUACACAUGCAAGUCGAACGGUAACAGGUCUUCGGAUGCUGACGAGUGGCGAACGGGUGAGUAAUACAUCGGAACGUGCCUAGUAGUGGGGGAUAACUACUCGAAAGAGUGGCUAAUACCGCAUGAGAUCUACGGAUGAAAGCAGGGGAUCGCAAGACCUUGUGCUACUAGAGCGGCCGAUGGCAGAUUAGGUAGUUGGUGGGAUAAAAGCUUACCAAGCCGACGAUCUGUAGCUGGUCUGAGAGGACGAUCAGCCACACUGGGACGUAGACACGGCCCAGACUCCUACGGGAGGCAGCAGUGGGGAAUUUUGGACAAUGGGCGCAAGCCUGAUCCAGCAAUGCCGCGUGCAGGAUGAAGGCCUUCGGGUUGUAAACUGCUUUUGUACGGAACGAAAAGCCCUGGGUUAAUACCCUGGGGUCAUGACGGUACCGUAAGAAUAAGCACCGGCUAACUACGUGCCAGCCGCCGCCGUAA
rnacentral:rRNA from 1 species